GACGAACGCUGGCGGCGUGCUUAACACAUGCAAGUCGAACGGUAAGGCCCUUCGGGGUACACGAGUGGCGAACGGGUGAGUAACACGUUGGUGAUCUGCCCUGCACUUUGGGAUAAGCCUGGGAAACUGGGUCUAAUACCGGAUAGGACCAUGCGCCUCACGGUGUGUGGUGGAAAGCUUUUGCGGUGUGGGAUGGGCCGGCGGCCUAUCAGCUUGUUGGUGGGGUAAGGGCCUACCAAGGCGACGACGGGGAGCCGGCCUGGGAGGGUGACCGGCCACACUGGGACUGAGAUACGGCCCAGACUCCUACGGGAGGCAGCAGUGGGGAAUAUUGCACAAUGGGCGCAAGCCUGAUGCAGCGACGCCGCGUGAGGGAUGACGGCCUUCGGGUUGUAAACCUCUUUCAGUAGGGACGAAGCGCAAGUGACGGUACCUACAGAAGAAGGACCGGCCAACUACGUGCCAGCCGCCGCCGUAA
rnacentral:rRNA from 1 species